CGAUCAGUAGCUGGUCUGAGAGGAUGAUCAGCCACACUGGGACUGAGACACGGCCCAGACUCAUACGGGAGGCAGCAGUGGGGAAUUUUCCGCAAUGGGCGAAAGCCUGACGGAGCAACGCCGCGUGCGGGAGGAAGGCCUUAGGGUUGUAAACCGCUUUUAUCAGGGAAGAACACAAUGACGGUACCUGAUGAAUAAGCCUCGGCUAAUUCCGUGCCAGCAGCCGCGGUAAUACGGGAGAGGCGAGCGUUAUCCGGAAUUAUUGGGCGUAAAGCGUCCGCAGGUGGCCAAUUAAGUCUGUCGUUAAAUCGUGGAGCUCAACUCCAUACAAGCGAUGGAAACUGAUUGGCUAGAGUACGGUAGGGGUAGCGGGAAUUCCAGGUGUAGCGGUGAAAUGCGUAGAUAUCUGGAAGAACACCAGCGACGAAAGUGCGCUACUGGGCCUGUACUGACACUCAUGGACGAAAGCCAGGGGAGCGAAAGGGAUUAGAUACCCCUGUAGUCCUGGCCGUAAACGAUGAACACUAGGUGUUGCGCGAAUCGACCCGUGCAGUGCCGUAGCCAACGCGUUAAGUGUUCCGCCUGGGGAGUACGCACGCAAGUGUGAAACUCAAAGGAAUUGACGGGGGCCCGCACAAGCGGUGGAGUAUGUGGUUUAAUUCGAUGCAACGCGAAGAACCUUACCAAGGCUUGACAUCCCCCGAAUCUCUGGGAAACCGGAGAGUGCCUUCGGGAGCGGGGAGACAGGUGGUGCAUGGCUGUCGUCAGCUCGUGUCGUGAGAUGUUGGGUUAAGUCCCGCAACGAGCGCAACCCACGUCCUUAGUUGCCAUCAUUCAGUUGGGCACUUUAGGGAGACUGCCGGUGACA
rnacentral:rRNA from 1 species